rnacentral:lncRNA from 1 species
CCCCUCUGAAGCAGAGAUUCCUCCUCUGGCUCCUAAAGCUCCUAUUGUUCCCAUUUUAUUUGAACUGCCUCUCUCUCUCAUUAGACUGUGAUCUCUGUGAGCACUGUAAGUUCAGAAAAAAGCGCCCAGUGGUGUUGAAUCAUUGGAUUGGUGUCUCCAGGGUCACCGUGCUAUUAUGAGGAUCAAAUGGCCUCUAUUGGAGCUACUAACCAAAAAAUGAAAAGGAACUAGACCCAGAGAGGAUCAAAUGUGUAAAUGCCAAUUCAGAGAGGUGAGCAAAGCAGGAAGAAAGAAAGAAGGAGGGGAGGUCAAGAUGAGAACUCUGCUGACUCCUGAUUCUCCAAGAAUGGAGAAGAUCAGGGAAAGUCUGAAUGAAGGCCAGCAGGCAGUAUCAGCCGAACCAAGAAGGGCCAUAAAGCUGCAGACCAGGAAAUCUGCCCUCUGAGAGCACAGAAUUUAGAAUGGACAGCAAAUUUAGUAAAAGUAGGUGUUCCAGCUAGAAGAUUUGGAUGAAAAGUGAUUCCAAAAAAAUGAGGCAAUCUCAUCCCGAAACUAUUUAAAACUACUCUCCUCUCUCUUGAUAAACCGUCAGUAGGAAGUGUGUCGUUUAUUCCCUCACUCCACACUGGAUUCAUAUGGGCUGAUAGCAGCAGGAUUAAAAAUUUUUUUCAUCAUGAGUUAAAUCCCUAAGAUUUAGAGUAUUUUGUUUGUCUGAAUGUCUAAGCGGUACAAACCUUAGCAAUCCAUAUUAAAAUGGAGAAUUCCUUCUUUUGGUAUUCACAAGCAUAACAUACAUAAUCCUUUA